AAAGAAGAAGGCGAGUGGUCCCAAAAUGCCCAGUUACUUGCAAGAGAAUUCAAGGGGUAUUCCUUUUUCUUUUAUUUAUUAGCAUGUCUGUGAAUGUUUAUAUUCAUUAGUUUUUUACUUCUUAUUUAUGCAAUUUAUCAAUAACUUCAGUGUGUCAUAAUCUCCAGAAUGAGAAUUUGAAUGGUGAUGUGGCAAGUUCAUCGACUCAUAAUUCCUCACUUCAUGGGGCAUCUUCACCUUCUAUACCUGUUGAGUAUUCGACUGUCAUUGAAUUUGUUACUAAGCAGUUGUUUGAAGGCAUUUAAUCUGUUAUUCAGAGUGGGUUUUAUUUACAAGUAUUAUGUCUCUAAUAUUUCGUGUUUAUUCGGAAAUUUAAUCAUAUUCAAACAAUUUAGUUGAUCUAUGAGAUUAUGGAAUAAAAUUGAAUUUGAUUUUAUUAUACAAAUACUUAUAGAUCUUUAUGAUCCCCUAAGGAAAGGAAAAAAUAUAGGUGAUAUUUUGAUUUGGUGUCGUAAAACAUCAAGUACUUUAUAUGUAAUGCCUUUAGUUUCAUUUUAGGAAAGAUAGGUUUUUUCAUAGCCUUUUCUUUGUUUUGGGGUUGGAUUAGAUGCAGAACUGUUUUUAAGCUUUACUGAUUAGUAGAACUCUUUCACUUAUAUCAUUAUUGUCAUUUCUAAUUUGUUAGUAAAGUAUAUAUAAUCAGACAUCACAGGGUAAAAAUGUCUGAUUCCUUACGCGUGGUUAGCUUGCUUGGUUUGUGGAGUAACUUAUGCUUGAGCAGAUAAAAAUAUUUAGUUUAGUCCAAAUUGAAAAUGAUUGGAGACUCUGCGAGGUUUGGCCUAAGCUAUUUGCAAAUGUGCUGAAGUGAAAAUAGUGGCUAUUUUUAAAAUAAAGAGCAUUGGUUUACUUUCACUAGUUGGAGGUCUUGAUGAUUUUGCAGUUACGGAUUAGUUGAGUUAGAACUGGUGGUCAAUAAUAUUUCCAUAGUGUCUUUUUACGCUUGAUUAUAUUAUUGCUUGAAUUAUAUACCCUUUUAGUACUAACACAACCAGUAGUAAGUAUUGAUGCAACAAGAUACUAAAUACUUGGUUGCAUUCUCAAAAAGUGGGGAUUAUCGUCUUCAUAAAAGAAUUAUAUGCUUGCAUGAUUUUACCCUAUGACAAGUGUAAGCUUGAUUUGUGUAAUAGCUGAAAUUCUUUGCGUAUUGACACAAUCGAAUUGCAACAAUCGACUUUAUUUUUGUUUAUUUAGCUAACAUUCCCUAUGGGGCUCAGAUGAUAUGAAAUGUUUGAAGUUAGCUUAGCCUUGUGGGAUAUUGUCUUUGUGCAUUUUGUUAGUGUUAUUUUUACUAGUCCAUUAUGUAUCAGCCCUUGAGUAUAAUAAACAUGAAUUUCCUGCUUUCCCUUAUGUGUUUUACUUUAUGGUGCAGAUGGUUGCUUUUGUACGUGGAAUAAAUCAUUUCGAGACUCAAUCCUCAUCAAACAAAAAAACUUGGUGAAAGUCCUGGAAUUUUUGCAUGUAAUUAUUGAAGAAUUGUUUCAGGGAUGAAAGUGGUUGGUGAAUACUAGCUUCCAAGCUUUUUAUUUUUUAUUUUUUGGUAAAACCUGGUGAAAGUCCUUUGUAAAAGUUUCCAAUCUCGACUAAUCAAUUGUCACAUGGCUAACCUAGAGAUUCAUGACCAUAUUUUGUAACCAGUUCAAGUUUUCAAGUUUUU
rnacentral:lncRNA from 1 species